rnacentral:rRNA from 1 species
CCCUUCGAUGUUCGGGGCCGCACGCGCGUUACACUGAUGCAUUCAACGAGCUUAUAACCUUGGCCGAGAGGCCUGGGCAAUCUUGUUAACGUGCAUCGUGAUAGGGAUAGAUUAUUGAAAUUAUUAAUCUUGAACGAGGAAUUCCUAGUAAACGCAGAUCAUCAAUCUGCAUUGAUUACGUCCCUGCCCUUUGUACACACCGCCCGUCGCACCUACCGAUUGGAUGGUCCGGUGAAGCCUCGGGAUUGUGGUUCUUGCCGCUUUAUUGUGGCGUGACCGCGAGAACUUGUCUAAACCUUAUCAUCUAGAGGAAGGUGAAGUCGUAACA